UACGAAGGGGGCGAGCGUUGUUCGGAUUUACUGGGCGUAAAGGGCGCGCAGGCGGCUCAUUUUGUCAGGCGUGAAAGCCCCGGGCUUAACCUGGGAACUGCGUUUGAUACGGAUGGGCUAGAGUUCGGGAGAGGAGAGUGGAAUUCCGGGUGUAGCGGUGGAAUGCGUAGAGAUCCGGAAGAACACCGGUGGCGAAGGCGGCCUGCUGGGCAGUUGCUGACACUGAGGCGCGACAGCGUGGGGUGCAAACAGG
rnacentral:rRNA from 1 species